rnacentral:rRNA from 1 species
GCAAACUCCGAGCGUUAUCCGGAUUUAUUGGGCGUAAAGGGUGGGUAGGCGGAUAUAGAAGUCAAUCGUUAAAUCACUGAGCUCAACUCAGUAAUCGCGAUUGAAACGCUAUGUCUAGAGAUAAGUAGAGGUUAACGGAACUCAUGGUGUGGCAGUGAAAUGCGUUGAUAUCAUGGGGAACACCAAAUGCGAAGGCAGUUAACUGGGCUUUAUCUGACGCUGAUCCACGAAAGCGUGGGGAGUGAAGGGGAUUAGAUACCCCCGUAGUCCACGCCGUAAACGCUGUACACUAGACAUUGGGAGUUUCGACCCUUUCAGUGUCGUAGCUAACGCGAUAAGUGUACCGCCUGGGAAGUACGGCCGCAAGGUUA